rnacentral:rRNA from 1 species
GAAAAGAAACUAACUAGGAUUCCCCCAGUAACUGCGAGUGAAGAGGGAAGAGCUCAUCAUUGGAAUCUGGCAGUGUUUUCACUGUCCGAGUUGUAGAUGAGGAGUAGUCCAUCUGGACUGCAUGGCGUCCAAGUACAAUAGGCCGUCAGUGGGACAUCAUAGAGGGUGACAAUCCCGUCCUUGAUGCCAAUGUGCAAGUCCGUUACGAUGGCUAUCUCAGAGAGUCGAGCAGUUUGGGAUUUGCUGCUUAAACAUGGGAGGUAGAUUCCUUCUAAAGCUAAAUACAGGCGAGAGACCGAUAGAGAACAAGUACCGCAAGGGAAAGAUGAAAUAGCACUCUGUGAAGGGAGUCAAAAGACGUGAAAUUGUUGCGAGAGAAGCGAUUCAAGUCAGCGUAGCUAGGCCCAUCAAGCCUCUUGCUUUGGACUAGCUUUGCCAGCGGUCUUGUCCUAAGAGACUUGACUUUUAUGUCCAGCCUGGUAUGCACAGGUAGCCCCUCUCGGGGGCCAGUGACAUGGCUGGUGGAAUGGCUUGCAAUCGACCCGUCUUGAAACACGGACCAAGGAGUCUAACAUGUAUGCGAGUAUAAGGGUGGCAAACCCGUAUGCGCAAUGAAAGUGAUUUUCGGUGAUUGAGAAUGGCCUGAUGACCAGACAAGCAAUAUUAUGUCCCUCGUACGGCCAUUGCCCAAGUUCCGUGGUAGAUCCCACGAACAUGGAGUUGGAGCAUACAUGCUAGGACCCGAAAGAUGGUGAACUAUGCCUGGACAAAGUGAAGCCAAAGGAAACUCUGGUGGAGGCUUGUAGCGAUUCUGACGUGCAAAUCGAUCGUCUGAUCUGGGUAUAGGGGCGAAAGACUAAUCGAACC